AUCCUCCAGACUCCAGAUGAUGAGCUCCACACGACGCACCGCGCGCGCCACACCUGCGGCCCAUCGCUCGCCUGAGGGGAGCGCCGCAAUCCGAACACGAUGCCGUCGUCGCCAUCGACCCCCACCCUCUGCACUCUCCUCCUCCUCCUCCUCCUCCGGCCACCCCCACUACAGCACGCGCCAGUCCGCCACCGGCGGCGGCGGGUGGUUACCGCCGCGCCUCCGCCGCAGCUCCAAGUCGCCCGCGAGGCUCGAGAACCACAGUACGACGCGGCAGCAGCAGGAGCUUACGCCGCCGCCGCCGCGCCGCCUCAGCGCGCUCGUCCACCGCGGGGACCUUGACGCGGCGCUCCGCCUCGUGGAGUCAUCCCUUCGCCCGCCCGACGUGACGCUGGCCAACUGGGCCGACUGGGCCGUAUGUGAGCUACUCGGCCAGGUGGUGAAUAUGGCAAAUCACGGCGGCUCCUAGGGUUUCAUCCCAUCGGCAUCCCCUCAUAUAUAAGAUGGCUGUCAUAGGAAGUUCCACAAGCCGCCGUCCGCCGCUUCUUCCGGUGCUUUUCGAUUCGAUUUGCAGAUCUAUGGUGGUUUCGUUUCGUUUAUGAUUCCGUCUGUUCUCUCUUGUCGCUCGUUUCUUCACCUUUCGGUGCUUAGAGUCGGAGCUGUGCAUUAGGCGAUGAUGAUUUGCUCUUUUAUACCAUCAAACUCUGAAUCAAUCAUACGCCGUGUUGACUGCAUAAGUCUUCGUGAGUCUAAUGCCAUCUUUGCGAAGAAGCGUUUUCAGAUUGACUGUACUGUCUUUUUUUUUUGCUAUGCUGAUUGAAUCUCGUCUUCGUUUUUUGCUAUGCUUUUUUUUGCUAGGCAAUAAAUUAGAGUCUCUAAUGCGCUCAUCUCAAUAGCGUUGUCAGCGCUGUACGUUGCCGAGAGGAAUCGGACAAAGAUUCUGGCACUCGCCAUCUCAUAGGUGGCUUGUUGCAUUCAACUUGUCCAUACAGCUUUUUCUUUCAAAAAAAGAACUAUUUUUUCGCCUGUUGUUUACUCGAGGUUUGCUCUAUUUUCGUUGCUUUGUUUAUCAAAUCGCGUUGUUGAUCAGAAUAUCCAGAUUUUUGUAAUUAUUUUCCCUUUUAAAUUUUUCCAUAAAUGUUUUCCACUGUUUAUAUAAUGAAAAUUUGUUUUUCAAUUUAUUUAAUUGCUAACCACGUUUGGCAUUUAUUUUAUUUUCAUUGGUCAUUACGUGACUGUUUUCAGAAGUAUCAUAUUCUUUAGCACAAGUCUCACUGCUUUCUGAAUUGCGUAUCUUUAUUCGGUUUCUUACCUCCAGGCAUUUUAACCAUAAUUUCUGUUCAAAAGCAGAUAUACCAUGUAACGCCCUCGAUUUAGUGAUCAUCUUGAAACAAUCAAAUUUAUCUGCAAAGACUUUUGGUCUGAGCUAUUCAAGAAGCAGAUUGACAAUCUAAAAACUAAUCAUAGGGUAAAUGGGGCACAUUUGUUCUUCAAGAUGACCGUUUAAGGUGGCUUGUGUUUCUAUAGAUCCAUCAGUAGAGAGCAUGUAUGCAACUGAGAAUGACUCUACAACACUAGGUGAUAGUGCAGCCCAAACAACAAGCAUGCUUCUGUAUCCAUGUGGGAUAAUAAGAGGUGCUUUGAUCAAUUUGGGGAUUUUGUGUUCUGACACUGCAGAUAUGUCCAACCUUCCAGCAUCACUUAACCCAGGCAAGUAAAUAUAAUUCAAGCUCGAGGAGAAGUCGACAAUCUUCCACAGCUCACACUUAUUUAGUGUCUAUGCGCUCAGCUAAAUAGAUCCAAGACAGCAAAGGGGGCAGCGGGAGGCACCGGGCGGCGGCAGCCCGCGGAGGCGGGUGGUGGGGGCGGCGCUGCGCGCGGCGCGGCGCGGAAGCUGCGGCCGCGGGGAGGCAGCGGCGGCUCAUGGCUACUUGCUAGGGAUAUGCACUGGGGCAUGGCAUCACCAAGCAUGAAAGCUUUUGCAGGUGGGCAGGCUGCUGCGUACAAAAUGUUUGAUACAAUAAACAGAAAACCAGAGAUCGAUGGAUAUAGCACAACAGGAAGGGGUAAGGGAAGGGGUAGGGGUAGAGGAAGAGGGAGAGGAAUGGGAGCAUGGUUUCCAUAUGUAAUAGUUGUCAAUUAUCUACUGCUUUUGGCAAUAUGUAUUUUGGAGAUGAUUAUGGGAUAUUUUUACAUGAUUAUUCUUGUAUAUUAUCUCACUUUAUGCAA